UGGGGAAUAUUGCACAAUGGGCGGAAGCCUGAUGCAGCAACGCCGCGUGCGGGAUGACGGCCUUCGGGUUGUAAACCGCUUUCGCCUGUGACGAAGCGUGAGUGACGGUAAUGGGUAAAGAAGCACCGGCUAACUACGUGCCAGCAGCCGCGGUGAUACGUAGGGUGCGAGCGUUGUCCGGAUUUAUUGGGCGUAAAGGGCUCGUAGGUGGUUGAUCGCGUCGGAAGUGUAAUCUUGGGGCUUAAACCUGAGCGUGCUUUCGAUACGGGUUGACUUGAGGAAGGUAGGGGAGAAUGGAAUUCCUGGUGGAGCGGUGGAAUGCGCAGAUAUCAGGAGGAACACCAGUGGCGAAGGCGGUUCUCUGGGCCUUUCCUGACGCUGAGGAGCGAAAGCGUGGGGAGCGAACAGG
rnacentral:rRNA from 1 species